rnacentral:lncRNA from 1 species
UGACAUGGUGAUCGUGGGAGAAAGAGUAGAAGAAGGACUGAAGAGUGGUAAAAUCCAGGGAGGUUCCAGCAGUCAACCAAUCUUGAAGAAGCCUUUCAACGGAUUCAAGAGGAAGGAGGGUGAGACUAGUGCCAUUUCUUCUCAGAGGGGGAGACCACCAUACAAAGCUCCCGCUUCUGUGCCUUAUUAUCAGUACCCUUACGUAGCGGCUGCUCAAUAUCCAACCAUGCCUUACCGUCCAAUUUCUCCUGUUCCUAUUCCAGCUCCGGUACCUCACUAUCAAGUUCCAGUUCCUCAAUAUCAAGCUCCACAACCUCAGUUCCAGGCUCCUCCACCUCAACAUCAACAGAGAAU